GCACAAACACAAAAAAAAUAAAACCCAUCAAUCGAAAUCAAAACCAGUCAACUUCACUCCUGUAAGUUAAGAAACCUUGUUCACGUUACCCGAGAAACACGUAUCACAACCAACCUUUUUACAACCAUCCUGCUCCGUUCGUUUCCACUUCCAUGCAAAAUCAACGGCUGCGAUCAUAAAUUUUCAAACUUUCAUGCUCUCUGUUUACACCCCCUCACAUUCCUCCUCACAGCCACUCGGGUUCAGACACAACUGAAAAAGAUAAACAUACGUAAAGUAACAAAGAAAGCAAAAUCUCGUACACACACUCUACUUCUAUUUCAACGCAGAGAGGGUCGAGUGUGCACCGAGAGAGUAUUCAAGAAUGGAGGAGAGACCAGAGACGGAGUUGAUAUCCAUUCCAGCAACGCCACGUGCAUCGACGCCGGAGAUACUGACUCCGUCAGGUCAAAGGUCACCAAGGCCAGCUUCAAAGGAAGCGAAAUCAUCGACAGCAUGGACACCGACAUCGUUUAUCUCGCCGAGGUUUUUGAGUCCAAUAGGGACGCCAAUGAAGAGGGUGUUGAUUAACAUGAAGGGUUAUUUAGAGGAAGUGGGUCAUUUGACUAAGCUAAAUCCGCAAGAUGCUUGGCUUCCUAUCACCGAGUCUCGUAACGGGAAUGCUCAUUAUGCGGCGUUUCAUAACUUGAAUGCCGGUGUUGGGGUUCAAAGCACAAAAAUAAAUAAAAUGUCUUUUACGAUUCCUUUAGACAAGCACGCACCGAAAGAAUCUGGUCACAUAUGUAGAUGCGGUGAGGGGUCCAUGAAACACGGAGUCAUCCAUUAUAUAUCGAAGCUUUUGCUUCAUUCACGGCAAGAUCCCCAUGUGCAUGUUCUCAUUGACCAUUGCCCCGUGAUAUUUUAA
rnacentral:lncRNA from 1 species